UUUUUUUUUGCACACUAAUAAAUAAACUACUGCAACAACAACAGAAAAAGCAAGCGGAAUCCAAAUAUCCUCUCGGUUGCCAUUUGGUUAUAUAAGAAGGACGAAUUAAGGCGAGCUGGCGGUAAAGAGUCGCUCCAAAUCCAAGCCCCUGCACCGGCCUUAAAUCAAAAGGGAAAAAGUGGGGCAGAGUUCUGCCAGCAGCAAACAUGAUCUGCUUCUGGGGAGAGGACUGUCACAGGUCACAGAACUCGGCCCAGCUAAAAGUCCGCAGCCCCUGCACACCUCCGGGAACCCUUGUUCGUUGUUGUUGUGCAGGGAUGGGCUCCAGGCAGCUUCCUUUGUAAGGUGCCCCCCACCCCAGCCCGCGGGUCGAGCUGCCGGGGCAGGGAGCAAACACCCGCCCCAAGGUACUGGACCACCGGCGUCCCUCUGCCCAGGAAUUUAGGAUUGGGAUGGAGAAAAAGAAAACAGUGUUUAUGAAGAGCCAGAAAGCGUUCUGUGUGCCAUUCAUCUCAAUUGCAAAAACAGGAACCCUAACUGAUGCUGUUAGAAGUCUGGACAAAUUGCCCUUGGAGAGGAGCUUCUGGAACACUCAUCAUGUUGUCUUUUUUGGGCUGGGAGCUAGUUACACAGCUGUACUCAUUUAUGGAAAUUCAUCCAGCUGUGCACUUACGAUGUGUGCGUUUUCCAUAUGUCUGUUACAUGGCUAUACAAUUUACAUUAAAACCAAAAAUACAUUCAUGGAAAACAUCAGUACCCAUUUUGUGAGAGCCUAUAUAAAGGAAAAGAUAUACAUUAAAAUGAUUGUCUGUGGGGGGAUGGAAGCGGGGAAUGGAGAUCAAAAGAAAAUACACACACACACAGACACACACGACAGGUCUGCGAUCGUUGUUGAUAUACCACAGAGGAAUGUUAUUAAUUUGACCCUCUGCACCUGAAGUUAAAAAAGAACAAAAAAGCUGUGUUUGUGAUCUCACAUUCAGGUGGGCCACAGGAGAACUUUUUUUUUUUUUUUUUUAAUGGUGCUUAUAAGUCUGUCUCUAUCUACCCAGUUACCUAAGGUCCUUCACCCAUCAGUGCUCCCAAAUCAAAAAGAGUUGAUCCCAGAGGCUCUGCCAGCCUCUGCAGAAGCUGCUCAGGUCAACA
ensembl:lncRNA